rnacentral:rRNA from 1 species
CAAUAGCGUAUAUUAAUGUUGUUGCAGUUAAAAAGCUCGUAGUUGGAUUUCUGGUGGGAGCGGCCGGUCCGCCGUAAGGUGUGUACUUGGUUGUCUCCCGUCAUCCUUGUGGGAACUGCUCUGGCAUUAAGUUGUCGGGGUUAGGGAACACAUCGUUUACUGUGAAAAAAUUAGAGUGUUUAAAGCAGGCUUAUGCCGUUGAAUACAUUAGCAUGGAAUAAUAAGAUAGGACUUUGGCGUCUAUUUUGUUGGUUUGCACACCAAGGUAAUGAUUAAUAGGGAUAGUUGGGGGUAUUCGUAUUUAAUUGUCAGAGGUGAAAUUCUUGGAUUUAUGAAAGACGAACUUCUGCGAAAGCAUUUACCAAAGAUGUUUNCAUUAA